GUGGAACCCCAAGAUUUGCAGCUAUUAGGAAGCAGAGGCUUGUGUGCAUUGAUCAAAACUCACAGAUGGUAGAGGGAAAAGGAACAGUUACAGUGGAAAUGGACAUUAGAAAUCAUCUAAUCCAACCUGUUCAUUUUACUUCUGAGAAUAUUGACAGGCAAAGAAACGAGAUGACUUGCAGUAGCUGCAAGUGAGUUAUAGAGAUGCACCAAGUGCUUUCUGGGCUCAGUUCCCAAUGAGUCUGUGUAAUGCAUUCCUUCUGUCCCAUCCCAUGUUGCAGAUCUGUGGAGGCUGACAUCAUCAUCUUGAAUAAUAAAGCUAUUCCCAAAUGUAACAAGUUCAAGUGCCUAAAUGGAGGAAUGGCGGUUAGGGAGAUGUAGCGGGGCUUUCCAAUGAGUUCAUCAUUGCAAUGGUGGUUUGCCUGCUAUUAAAAAAAUCUUCUUCUAGAUAUGUCUCAUUGUAAUUAAGGGAGAUUAAACAUUUAAAUUUA